rnacentral:rRNA from 1 species
CACCUGCCCGGUGCUGGAAGGUUAAGAGGAGAUGUCAUCGCAAGAGAAGCAUUGAAUUGAAGCCCCAGUGAACGGCGGCCGUAACUAUAACGGUCCUAAGGUAGCGAAAUUCCUUGUCGGGUAAGUUCCGACCCGCAUGAAAGGCGUAAUGAUUUGGGCGCUGUCUCAACGAGGGGCCCGGUGAAAUUGAAAUACCUGUGAAGAUGCAGGUUACCCGCGACUGGACAGAAAGACCCCAUGGAGCUUUACUGCAGCUUGAGAUUGAAUCCCGGUGGCAGACGCACAGGAUAGGUGGGAGGCUUUGAGAUAGUGACUUUGGUUGCUAUGGAGCCGACGUUGGGAUACCACCCUUCUGUUGCUGGGAUUCUAACGCGAAGAUUAACAACCUUGCGGACCAUCUCAGGUAGGCGGUUUGACUGGGGCGGUCGCCUCCGAAAGAGUAACGGAGGCGCCCAAAGGUUCCCUCAGGCCGGACAGAAACCGGCCGAAGAGUGCAAAGGCAGAAGGGAGCUUGACUGCGAGACAGACAAGUCGAGCAGAGACGAAAGUCGGGCUUAGUGAUCCGGUGGUACUGCGUGGAAAGGCCAUCGCUCAACGGAUAAAAGCUACCCUGGGGAUAACAGGCUAAUCUCUCCCAAGAGUUCAUAUCGACGGGGAGGUUUGGCACCUCGAUGUCGGCUCAUCACAUCCUGGAGCUGGAGUAGGUUCCAAGGGUUGGGCUGUUCGCCCAUUAAAGUGGUACGCGAGCUGGGUUCAAAACGUCGUGAGACAGUUUGGUUCAUAUCCAUCGCGGGCGCAAGAAGUUUGAGGGAGGCUGCUCCUAGUACGAGAGGACCGGAGUGGACGGAUCAACGGUGUACCAGUUGUCACGCCAGUGGCACGGCUGGAAAGCCGCAUCCGGAAAGGAUAAACGCUGAAAGCAUCUAAGCGUGAAGCCCGUCCCAAGAUGAGACUUCUCAUCAGCAAUGAGUAAGACCCCUUAAAGACGAUGAGGUUGAUAGGCUGUGAGUGGAAGAGCCGCGAGGCUUGGAGCGACGCAGUACUAAUAGGUCGAGGUCUUAACUUA